GACAAUUAUGACAAUGACAACUAUGACGAUGAUGACAAAGAAGAUGGAGGAGGAGGGGAAGGAGGGAAGUACCAGUGACAGAGGAAGAUAGAAUAAAUAGCUCAGUCUCACAAAUAUUUUAAAUUUCUCUUCUAUUCACAUCAACAUUCCCACAAAUUAUACUGUUGAAAUACAAAGAGCCAAUAAGCCUACCAUUUCUAAGCUGGCCUCAAAGCUUCUAUGAAAUAUGAACAGGAAACUUAAGAAUGGCUCUUCCUACAUUUAAUCCCUAGAACAUGGACCUCUACAGGAAGAAAGGGACCAAAAGUGCCAAGAUGAAGUUAGUUCUAAGAGAUUGCCAUCAAAGCAAGGGACAACUGGAGGUGGUACCGAAAUUAGGAAAAGGAAGUAGAAGGAGGCAGUGGGCAUAAAACAGCUUUAUUGACAAGUGACAACAGACACAAGACAGGGAAGAAGAAAAGCAGAAAGAAGAGGAGUUAUAUAGUUUAGUAACAGAUAAUUCAAAAGGUGUUCAUCUAGAAUAAAGAAGGGAAGCUAGAAGAUACAUAGAAAGUACAGAAGAUGAGAGUCAGAAAUGGAGAUAAAAGAUUAAACAGUAUUCUUCUCUAAAUCAACAUUGCCAAAAGCCACUUUUUUUCUGUAGUCUUUGAAAGCACAGUGUGAAGAAUUUCUUCUGUGUGAGUAUGAUUAAGCCUCACCUUCUAUAGAAACUUCAGCUCUCCGGAUUUCAUCAUAUGGACAUCUGGUCAUUGAGUCUCCAAACAAAAUACAAUCCUUGAGGUGGAAGCAUGAAUCAGUGCAGAACAUGUAUUUUACCUUCUAGUUUACACUGUUGUAAUAAGCUUGUCAUCAGUCAUCAACUUUAAGCAAAUUACAAAGAAAUGUCAACAGAAACAAUGACAAAUUUGCCUUGUUAAAUAAAAGUUACUUAUUUUACAAGUCAAAAGCUAUUCUUUUUGUACAA